CGAUUAAGCCAUGCGAGUUGAAUGUUCUUCGUGAACAUGGCGGACUGCUCAGUAACACGUGGACAACCCACCCUUGGGUCCGGCAUAAUCCUGGGAAACUGGGAAUAAUUCCGGAUAGGUCACCGAUGCUGGAAUGCGCGGUGGCCGAAAGCUCCGGCGCCCGAGGAUGGGUCUGCGGCCUAUCAGGGUUGUAGUGGGUGUAACGUACCUACUAGCCUACGACGGGUACGGGUUGUGAGAGCAAGAGCCCGGAGAUGGAUUCUGAGACACGAAUCCAGGCCCUACGGGGUGCAGCAGGCGCGAAAACUUUACAAUGCGGGAAACCGUGAUAAGGGGAUCUCGAGUGCCAGCAUAUAAUGUUGGCUGUCCAGAUGCCUAAAAAGCAUCUGUUAGCAAGGGCCGGGCAAGACCGGUGCCAGCCGCCGCGGUAACACCGGCGGCCCGAGUGGUAACCGCUAUUAUUGGGUCUAAAGGGUCUGUAGCCGGCCAGGUAAGUCCCUUGGGAAAUCUGGCAGCUCAACUGUCAGGCUGCUAGGGGAUACUGUUUGGCUUGGGACCGGGAGAGGUGAGAGGUACCUUGGGGGUAGGGGUGAAAUCUUGUGAUCCUCGAGGGACCACCAGUGGCGAAGGCGUCUCACCAGAACGGGUCCGACGGUAAGGGACGAAAGCUAGGGGCACGAACCGGAUUAGGUACCCGGGUAGUCCUAGCCGUAAACGAUGCUCGCUAGGUGUCAGUCACGGUGCGACCGUGAUUGGUGCCGUAGGGAAGCCGUGAAGCGAGCCACCUGGGAAGUAUGGCCGCAAGGCUGAAACUUAAAGGAAUUGGCGGGGGAGCA
rnacentral:rRNA from 1 species